GGUCCUUAGAUGGUCUCCACCUCUCACGGGUUUGGGGACAACCUCUAUCACCAUCAUUUUGAGGGAGGAAGCAGAGGGAUGACCUGCCUGCUGGUAAUGGACCGCCAUGGGGUAAGCAGGAUGUCUUGUCCUUAUGGCGUUCUUAUGUUCUGCAACUCUGUCCUUCAGCCUUCUUUUCGUUCUGCCGACGUAGAAGCAGCCACACUCACACUCGAGUCUAUAGACUACAAAGGUACUCUCAGGACAACUCUCUGCGA